rnacentral:lncRNA from 1 species
GUAAGCUAUAUGAGCAUCCUGCAUUCUGAUUGUGAUGUUUGUUGUUUGAUGUGUGUGUGAAAUUGUUGGUUGGGUGAUGUUCUAUAAGAUUGGUACGCCGUAUAAAUACAAGGAAGACUAUACGUAUUGAUAGAGGAGUCUCUGUGUUUGUGAUAGAUUUGUACGUCUUAUGGGUAAGGCUAGUUUUCAAAAAAAAAAAAGGCAUUUUUUUGCAAACUUUUAAGCUACAUCUCUUUCAUAAAAGGCUUUACAAAAAGUCCCUUGAGGCGUGACAUCUAUACCCUUUCUUUUUCUCUUUUUUCUUUCAACCGGUCCAUCAAUUUUCUUCC